GUUCCGGUCCCGUCCCACCGGGAGGAGACCCCGGGGAAGACCUAGGACACGCUGGAGGGACUAUGUCUCCCGGCUGGCCUGGGAACGCCUCGGUGUCCCCCCGGAAGAGCUAGAGGAAGUGUCUGGGGAGAGGGAGGUCUGGGCAUCCCUGCUUAGACUGCUGCCCCCGCGACCCGGCCCCGGAUAAGCGGAAGAAAAUGGAUGGAUGGAUGGCUCUCGCUCGACUACAGUGACAAGAACAUCGCUGGAUCGGAUGAUCUGGCAUACACAGAGUCAUGGCCAAGCUAACACUUUACAGCCCUGAAUUAAAGUCUAUCAAAGAGGGGGUCAAGAAUCGCUUUAAAUGGAGCUGGUUGCUGGAGACUGUCGAAGUUGAGGGAAACACAUUAUCACUCAAUUGCUUUAGCAAACUUAGAGAACCAGGUAAAGCAAUUUGCAACAUUUGCAACCACCCUAUUAACUAUGGCACAAGUGGGAAGAUUGCACUCCGGAAACAUGUGAUGCAUCCAAAACAUAUGAAACUGUGGAAGAUCCAACAGCAGAACAUGCACAUUGAGAUCGCACAAGCUGAUAACAUCAUUGUUGCAGCUCCACACAACAACUCGGCACAACCCAGAUCAAUUCCUCCUCUAUGCAACCGUGUUGCUCAGGAUCAAUCACGUCUGGGAUUAUUAAAUUGGCUCAAGAGUUGGUCAAAGAUCCAAAAGCACUUGCUGAACUGUCAAUGGACAGGACAUCAGCAUCAUACAAGCUUACCCAUGGUGUGAAGAAGACUAUCCUGGAUGAAGUACUUGAGGAAAUGAGAAGUGUCCCCUUCUCCCUCAAUAUUGAUGAGGCCACAAGCAAGACAAACAAAAGAGUAUUAGGUGUGCUUGUUAACUACUGGUCAGAUAAACACGAGAGGAUGGUUGUCCAACACCUUGCAGCUUUGGAGCUCAUAUCUGUAAUGGCAGAAUCUCUCUUCCGUGCACUGGAUGGGCUUUUUGAAAGGAUGAAUCUCCCAUGGGAUAAUCUGGUGUCAAUUCUCAUGGACUCCUGUGCUGUUAUGAGGGGCUCUAAAAAUGGCUUGGAAAAGAAGAUCAGAGACCGCCUUGCCCCUCAUCUCCUCGACAUCGAUGGUGACUAAUGUCACCACCUUCAUAAUGCUAGCAAGAAGUUGUGCUGUCCUUUUGAGCGUUGGGUUGAGUCUUUGCUGUCAGACCUGCACACAGACCACAAAUGGUCCGCUGACAUGAAAGAUGGCCUCAGAGAAAUUUGCAGUAUAUUUGGAAUCCAUUUCUCGCGGCCAGAGUGCUAUAUUCCACAUCGGUGGCUCUCAGUCUUGGAUGUCAGUCUGGAAACAUUGCGAAUGUGGGAUGCACUGGUCAUGUUUUACUAUGCAAUGAAGAUAAGUGUACAUACAAGGACAUUGUCAGUGCCAUUCUACAGAAGCGUGAAGUACAGGAAACAGGCAGGGCCCGGAUCAAGGAGUUGUGGAAGGAGUUGGGGAACAGGUCCAAGACCUUCACAAACGAGGGGAAGAUGAGGAAGGUCAGGAUUUGCAAGAAGGUGCUAUUUGAGGACAAGAAAACCCUCCUUGAGCUCCACUUCUAUUUAGCAGUCCUUCCCAUGCUGAAACAUUACGUCCUGCUUUUUUCAGUCCAAGGACCCACAGGUUCAUAAACUCCAUGAUGAGCAGGAGAAACUUGUCACUGAGUUUUUAUCUUGCUUCAUCAAGCCAGAAGAAUUGAUAAACAGCAAAGGAAGGAAUCUGUCCGGGCCAAAGAUGAAGUUGCUUGACCUGACAUCGACAGACGCCCAUCUCGCAGCACCUUUUGUUGGCUCUGAGGCCUCAUCCCUCCUUGACCAACUAGGGAGGGAACACCCCGCUGUGAAGGCUUUCAAAACUAAGGUAAUCAAAGCCUACACCAGCUGUGCAGGUGACCUUCAAACAAAGCUACCUCUUAACAGUACAACCCUAAGGACUCUGUCAUGCUUGGACCCAGAUGCACGGGGAAGCCAUCACAUUCUUCCUCAUCUCCAGAAGUUGCCAAACAUGUUUCCAGCUGUGAAGCUUAAUAAAUUGGAGAGAGCUGGAUUUCAACAUGAAAUACACAGAUAUGCAAGUGACAUGACACUACCUCAGAUGACAGAGG
ensembl:lncRNA